ACUAGGAUGAUCCUGUGCUCUAUGAUGUCAGCAUAACUUCUGGUUAUGAAGGUGAGAGGAUCCCAGGUAUAAUGUCUGAAAAGGUGUACCUCUUGCUUUGUAAUUAUAGGAGACCACUCUCAGGGGAGAGUAGUGUUUCUUUAUUGCAAACAUAGUUUAUUUACUGAGAAACCAAGGUUUAUUUUCUUCGUCCUUUAGUCUCUAGAUGAAGAAUGACGUGGUUUCAAGGCCUUUGGGAGCUGAACUAUUCCAGGAUCUGAUACAUGCAGCAGGACCAGCGUGUCCCAGGAUAUGGCAAUCACUGUUCUCUGGCUAAACCUACAGACAUUUGGAAUCCCUCUGUAUUAGUGUUCUCCAGAGAAACAGAAACAAUAGGAUCUGUUAUGAUAUCUGGAGGUGAAGUGGGACCAAGAUACACAGUUUGA
rnacentral:lncRNA from 1 species